AACGAACGCUGGCGGCGUGGAUAAGACAUGCAAGUCGAGCGGGAAUUCAUCGGUAGCAAUAUCAGUGGAUUUCAGCGGCGAAAGGGUGCGUAACACGUAGCUCACCUACCUCGAAGUGGGGGAUAGCUCGCCGAAAGGCGAAUUAAUACCGCAUGUGAUGGUAACAUGAAAGCUGGGGAUCGUAAGACCUGGCGCUUUGAGAUGGGGCUGCGGCCUAUCAGGUAGUUGGCGGGGUAACGGCCCACCAAGCCUUGGACGGGUAGCUGGUCUGAGGGGACGACCAGCCACACUGGAACUGAGACACGGUCCAGACACCUACGGGUGGCAGCAGUCGAGGAUUUUUCUCAAUGGGGGAAACCCUGAAGGAGCGACGCCGCGUGGGGGAUGAAGGUCUUCGGAUUGUAAACCCCUGUCAUCUGGGAACAAAGCGCUCCACCUAACACGUGGAUCGUUGAUAGUACCGGAAGAGGAAGCCGUGGCUAACUCUGUGCCAGCCGCCGCGGUAA
rnacentral:rRNA from 1 species